GACGAACCGUGCAAACGUUGUUCGGAAUCACUGGCUUAAAGGGCGCGUAGGCGGCUCGCCAAGUCGGGGGUGAAAUCUUUCGGCUCAACCGGAAAAGUGCCUUCGAUACUGGCGGGCUGGAGGGAGGUAGGGGCAUGUGGAACUUCCGGUGGAGCGGUGAAAUGCGUUGAUAUCGGAAGGAACGCCGGUGGCGAAAGCGACGUGCUGGACCUCUUCUGACGCUGAGGCGCGAAAGCUAGGGGAGCGAACGGG
rnacentral:rRNA from 1 species